rnacentral:rRNA from 1 species
GAUGAACGCUAGCUACAGGCUUAACACAUGCAAGUCGAGGGGAAACGCCAUCGAAAGCUUGCUUUUGAUGGGCGUCGACCGGCGCACGGGUGAGUAACGCGUAUCCAACCUGCCCAUCACUUGGGAAUAACCUUGCGAAAGUAAGACUAAUACCCAAUGACAUCCCACGAAGACAUCUGAAUGGGAUUAAAGAUUUAUCGGUGAUGGAUGGGGAUGCGUCUGAUUAGCUUGUUGGCGGGGUAACGGCCCACCAAGGCAACGAUCAGUAGGGGUUCUGAGAGGAAGGUCCCCCACAUUGGAACUGAGACACGGUCCAAACUCCUACGGGAGGCAGCAGUGAGGAAUAUUGGUCAAUGGGCGAGAGCCUGAACCAGCCAAGUAGCGUGCAGGAUGACGGCCCUAUGGGUUGUAAACUGCUUUUAUAAGGGAAUAAAGUGGGUCUCGGGAGACUUUUUGCAUGUACCUUAUGAAUAAGGACCGGCUAAUUCCGUG